ensembl:lncRNA
AUGGUGGUAACCAGGCCUCAUUGCUUCUUGUUUACAUGUUCAUGCUCUGUACUUACCUCAGUCUCCUUGUGUCUCCAGUUUCCUCAUCAAGUCACCGCUUCACUCCCCUGCAGCUUAAUUACCUGGAUGCUGGUCUCCUUGCCAAGAUUCUCUGCACCUCUCUGCAACCCACUCCUCAGAAUCAAAACCACUCAUCGCUUUCACCUGCCUACCCUUCUGCCCGUUGUUUCCUCUGGAUUAUCAAGAAAACAAGGUUGGAACUGCAUUCAUUCACUCACCUCUUGGACACUCACUCGGUUGCCCUCCCCAAAGCCUCACAACCUCUGCCUGCAAGUAAGCCCACAGAAUCAGUAUUCCUCUCUCCUCCCCUCAUUAACUCCUCACUCUCAGAACCUAACCAAACUCUCCCUCUGUUCCAGUGCCUCCACGUCAGAGACUCAACACCGCGUGUCUACAUUUGAGUACCCUCCCACGUACUGGCCUCCGGGCCCCCUUGACAUAGUAUCAUCAAAAUAAGCCUGCAGACUGAAAUGGAAACCCCACCCCACCCCAAACAUACAAGUUCAUUUCAGCCGUGCCCCUUUAAUGUCAGUCUUCUGUUAUGAAGCCAGGGAUAAGCAGAAAAAUAAAUAAAUAAAUAAAUGAAUGAAAAUUAAAAAGAAACAGAAAAAACCCUAUUAAAUUCAUUUCUGUGUGAAAGCUUGGAGCAAAGAGAUAGUAAAUAUCCAAUCACGGUGUCAUAGAGAAGGAUAUUAGUUUAUGCCGUGCUCUCUGUAUCUGUUUCUGUUUUAUUUGAAUUUGAGCUGUGUGUGUGUGUGUGUGUGUGUGUGUGUGUGUGUGUGUGUGCACCAGCAUGUGUGUCCACAUGUGUACUGAAAUAUUCAAAGUUGAGCUGAGGUACUUUACUCUUGCACUUGGUAAUUGUGACGACCCUCUAGACCUCACCUUCCUAUCUGUCUGUUUGUUAGGCUGCUGUUUCUUGCAGAUCCUGCAGAGGAGGUGAAAUCUAUGUAAAAUCAGCAGUAGUGGUCAGUGUGCAGUGCUCCAUAAAAACACCUUGGAAGUAGGUUGCUGUGUGGGGCUCCUCCUUUAGCCACUCUUUUGGAUUUUUGUUGCAGUUCAGUUUGUUUUCUUGCAUAAAAUCACUGCAUUCAUCACACCUUCAUUCACUCACUCACUUACACCAUCGGUGUGGUGUAUAGUUCACUGGAAUGGGCAAGCAAUCCAGGUUCUUAAAGACUGUAGCAGCCUGGGUUUGGUUCCAUCCCAGACUAUUUCCUGCAUCAUUCUCUCUCUCUCCUGUCUGUUCUCUGUUUUUGCUGUCUAUUAAUAAUAGCUAAAAAUGGCCAAAUAGGACUUAAUUAGGUAAACAAUCUCUUGUUAUUAAUGCAUUGUCAAACAUGCAGCUUGCUUGGCAGCAAGUGUCUUUAAACAGCAUGACAAUGAUAUUUAAUAAAAUAAAUCACAUAAAAUAUCCCACUUAAGGCAGACAAAAGUUACAGCUUUUAACUUUUAGAUUUAAACUAGGUGUGGGACUAAAAAUAUUAAUCUAAAGCGCAAAUGUUUUUUUAAUUUUAAAGGGUUUUAGUCGGCGACAGAAUAAAUAAUAGACAUGGACAUGAAUAUUGUAAACUCAACCUCUUUUAAUUUAUGGGGAAAAAAAUUUAAACUGCAUUUCAGUGCAAAACAGAGAAACAAAAGUAAUAUCCCCGGCCAAAACUGGGCAGACUUAAAAAUAAAGUGCUAUUUUAAGUACUUUAAGUACAUUUGGGUACUUUCGUACCUGGUAUAUAUAAAUGGUUUUGUCUUUAAAUAAUAAUAAUACAAAUUUCAUAAACAGAAAGUGCAGUUUUUCUUCUUAAAAAAAAUAAGGCAGAAACAUAAAAGGUUAUUUGACCAGCUUCACCUUUAAACUCUGGGUAACCUCAGCCAACCUUAUUUUGUACAUUAGGCUAAAACACUGUGAUCAUUGAACAUUUUAGUGUAAAAAAUAAUAAACCCAUUGGACUCACAAUACCUCCAUGCUUAUUUACUGUCCGUCUCUUUCAGACAGUUACUUAA